rnacentral:lncRNA from 1 species
ACAAUAAUAAUUAAGAAGAGAUGUUCAUUAUGUGGUGGGAAAAGCACAAGAGAAUCUUGCAUGUCUGGUGGACAUAAUUCGUUGAUUAAUAUUAUGUACGGAAGGAGGCAGUAGUCUUGCAUACUAGGAAGUUUCCAUCUUCUAAUUUCUUGGUUUUCUUUAGAUCUCUUUGGAUCUUAUAACCAUUUUCUUUUUUCUAGAUUUUACGAUAUAUAUUUAGAUAUUUUUGGAUCUAUGGAUAUAAUAUACAACUAACUUAGCUCUAGCCUUUACGAGUAACAGAUAUGCCCUUGUGAAAUGUUUUUUUUUUUACUGACCCUUGUGAAAUGUUACAAAGCUAACACUUGAAAAUCAUGUAAUCUCGUGAUAUAAUUUUUUUUUUUAUGCAUCUCUAUGCCUUGAGGGUUAUUUUAAGUUGGCAGAGUAAAUAUAUUACCUAAUUAAAUGUAAUUGAGAAAGCUAAAUUAGAAUUAGAGCUUUUAACCAGUGGUGCUAAUCCAACAUGUUGUUCGAAUGCAGAGUGUUAACUAGUUAACUAUUAGAGCAUGUCUAAUGCAGAGUGUGAAAUUAAUUCUGUAUGAAUGAAAUAACUAAGAAACAUCCAAAAAUAAUUCAGUUAGGAAGAAAUUGAUAUCUAU